GUGCCAGCCGCCGCGGUAAUACGGAGGGUGCAAGCGUUGUCCGGAAUCAUUGGGUGUAAAGGGUGCGUAGGCUGGCAUCUAAGUCUGGGGUGAAAUCUUGCCGCUUAACGGUAAAAUUGUCCUGGAUACUGGAUGUCUUGAAUCUGACAGAGGUCGGUGGAAUUCGUGGUGUAGCGGUGAAAUGCAUAGAUAUCACGAAGAACACCUGUGGCGAAGGCGGCCGGCUGGGUCAGUAUUGACGCUGAGGCACGAGAGCGUGGGGAGCGAACAGGAUUAGAAACCCUUGUAGUCC
rnacentral:rRNA from 1 species